AUGGUUCAACUGAUGGAACAUUAUCCAACCACAAUAAAAAGAUUUGGAUUGCGCAAGUUUUGCAGUGCUGCCUUUUACCUGAUGGUGAAACUUAGUUCCGGCCAUAAAUCCGAGGGAGACACAAGAACGGUCAAGAGGUCAGGUUCUGGCGGGGAACAAGCAUGACAUAAAGCCUGUGCUUGAUGCCGUCAUCAUUUCUGCCUGCAAAGGUUAUGUCUGGAUGUGGUGCAAAGACCACAGCAAAACAGUGCCAGAUGACACCUCCUUCAACAAGGCCGUGACACUCCAAAUAGACUACUCCAGGAAAUAAAUGAAAUCAUCUUGGAAUUUAGACUAAAAAUAGGGGGUGUUAGAUUGUUUAAUUUUUACCCUGUCAUAAUGUGAUCAAUUCAACAACAACAAAAAUAUUGGUACUGUCAGUAUAUUUCAUUGUGUACAUUUUAUUGUUUACAUUUUAUAAUCUCAUUAAAAAAAUGUUAUUUAU